AGUGAACGCUGGCGGCGUGCUUAACACAUGCAAGUCGAACGAGAACGGGUUAUAGCUUGCUAUAAUUGUCAGCUAAGUGGCGCACGGGUGAGUAAUGUAUAGGUAAUAUGCCUCUUACUAAGGGAUAACAAAUGGAAACGUUUGCUAAUACCUUAUACUCCUUAUUAACAUAAGUUAAUAAGGGAAAGAUUUAUUGGUAAGAGAUUAGCCUGUAUUGUAUCAGUUAGUUGGUGGGGUAAUGGCUUACCAAGACUAUGACACAUAACUGGUUUGAGAGGAUGAUCAGUCACACUGGAACUGAGACACGGUCCAGACUCCUACGGGAGGCAGCAGUGGGUAAUAUUGCACAAUGGACGAAAGCCUGAUGCAGCAACGCCGCGUGGAGGAUGACACAUUUCGGUGCGUAAACUCCUUUUAUAUGAGAAGAUAAUGACGGUAUUAUAUGAAUAAGCACCGGCUAACUCCGUGCCAGCCGCCGCGGUAACAC
rnacentral:rRNA from 1 species